AUUCCUUUAAGUUUCAAUCUUGCGACCGUACUUCCCAGGCGGCAGACUUAACGGCUUCCCUGCGGCACAGCAUUGGCCAUAAACCAACGCUUCACCGAGUCUGCAUCGUUUACAGCUGGGACUACCCGGGUAUCUAAUCCGGUUUGCUCCCCCAGCUUUCAUCCCUCACUGUCGAACGUGUUCUGGCGGACCGCCUUCGCCACUGGUGGUCUUCCGCGGAUCAAAGGAUUUUACCCCUACACGCGGAGUACCGUCCGCCUCUCCCGCCUCCUAGUCCCGCAGUAUCCUCUGCAGGCCAGCCGUUGAGCGACUGGAUUUAACAGAGGACUUACGGAACCGGCUACGGGUGCUUUAGGCCCAAUAAUCGUCCCGACCACUCGAGGAGCUGGUAUUACCGCGGCGGCUGACACCAGACUUGCCCUCCCCUUAUUCCCCUGCCUAUUUACAGCCGAGAAAAGCUCCCU
rnacentral:rRNA from 1 species